rnacentral:tRNA from 1 species
UUUCCCUUGGCCAAGUGGUAAGGCGGCGGGUUUUGGUCCUGUUACUCGAAGGUUCGAAUCCUUUCGUCCAGC